rnacentral:rRNA from 1 species
GAUGAACGCUGGCGGCGUGCCUAAUACAUGCAAGUCGAGCGAAGCGGGGACUGGUGAGUAAGACGUGGAUAACCUCCUAUAAGACUGGGAUAACUUCGGGAAACCGGAGCUCAACGGGAUACUUAUCGAUGGAUCCGGGCUGCAUUGGCUAGUUGGUAAGGUAACGGCUUACCAAGGCAACGAUGCAUGGCCGACCUGGGAGGGUGGUGGGCACCACUGGAACUGGGACCCGGUCCAGACUCCUAGGGGGGGCAGCAGUGGGGAACCUUGCGAAAUGGGCGAAAGCCUGACGGGGCAAGGCCGCGUGAGUGAUGAGGGUCUUCGGUUCGUAAAACUCUGUUAUUAGGGAAGCGGUACCUAAUCAGAAAGCCACGGCUAACUACGUGCCAGCAGCCGCGGUAAUUC